AUUGAACGCUGGCGGCAGGCCUAACACAUGCAAGUCGAGCGGAGCGGCGGACGGGUGAGUAAUGCCUGGGAAUCUGCCUGGUCGUGGGGGAUAACGUCCGGACACUGGCGCUAAUACCGCAUACUAUCAGAUGAGCCUAGGUCGGAUUAGCUAGUUGGUGGGGUAAAGUCCUUCCAAGGCGACGAUCCGGAACAUGUCUGAGAGGAUGAUCAGUCACACUGGAACGUAGACAGGGUCCAGACUCCUACGGUAGGCAGCGGUGGGGAAUAGUGGACAAUGGGCGAAAGCCUGAUCCAGCCAUGCCGCGUGUGUGAAGAAGGUCUGCGGAUUGGAAAGCACUGUAAGUUGGGAGGCGUUACCAAAAGAAUAAGCACCGGCUAACUUCGUGCCAGCCGCCGCGGUAAUUC
rnacentral:rRNA from 1 species